GAUGAACGCUAGCUACAGGCUUAACACAUGCAAGUCGAGGGGCAGCAUUAUCUUAGCUUGCUAAGAUGGAUGGCGACCGGCGCACGGGUGAGUAACACGUAUCCAACCUUCCGGUUACUCGGGGAUAGGCUUUCGAAAGAAAGAUUAAUACCCGAUGUUGCGUAUCUUUCUCCUGAAAGAUACGCCAAAGGAUUCCGGUAACCGAUGGGGAUGCGUUCCAUUAGGCAGUUGGCGGGGUAACGGCCCACCAAACCUUCGAUGGAUAGGGGUUCUGAGAGGAAGGUCCCCCACAUUGGAACUGAGACACGGUCCAAACUCCUACGGGAGGCAGCAGUGAGGAAUAUUGGUCAAUGGACGGAAGUCUGAACCAGCCAAGUAGCGUGAAGGAUGACUGCCCUCUGGGUUGUAAACUUCUUUUAUACGGGAAUAACAUGAGGUACGCGUACCUUAUUGCAUGUACCGUUAUGAAUAAGCAUCGGCUAACUCCGUGCCAGCAGCCGCGGUAAUACGGAGGAUGCGAGCGUUAUCCGGAUUUAUUGGGUUUAAAGGGAGCGUAGGUGGGAUAUUAAGUCAGCUGUGAAAGUUUGGGGCUCAACCUUAAAAUUGCAGUUGAUACUGGUUUCCUUGAGUACGGUACAGGUGGGCGGAAUUCGUGGUGUAGCGGUGAAAUGCUUAGAUAUCACGAAGAACUCCGAUCGCGAAGGCAGCUCACCGGGCCGGAACUGACACUGAUGCUCGAAAGUGCGGGUAUCAAACAGG
rnacentral:rRNA from 1 species